rnacentral:lncRNA from 1 species
AGAAAUUGGUUUCCUUUGUGCAUACGUCUGCACUUUCACAUAUACCCACGUGUGGUCAGCUGAAAAAUGACUCCUCGAAAGAUAUUCAUAUCAAACUCCUGGCAGCUAUGAAUGUGACUUUAUUUGGAAAAAGGGUCUUUGCAGGUGUAAUUAAAUGAAGGAUGUUGAGAUAAGGUGAUUAUUUGGGAUUGCUCAGGUUGGCCCUAAUUCGAAUGAUGAAUGUCUUUAUGAGAGAACGGCAGAGGGAGAUUUGAGACAGAUAGGAGUGAAAACACAGAGAGGAGGAGGAGGCAACGUGACCAUGGAAUAAGACAUUGGAGUGAAGUAGCCACAAGCCAAGGAAUGCCUAAAGCCACCAAAAGCUGGAAGACGCAGGAAAGGAGCCUCCUGGAGAGAUUUCUGAGGGAGCACAGCCCCACCGAUGCCAUGAUUUCAGCCUUCUGGUUCCCAGAAUUGUGAAAGAGUAAAUUUCUGUUGUUUCAAGUGGCCAAGUUGGUGGUAAUUUGCUACUGAAACCCCAGGAAGCUUUGUGCCUGGAUACUAGCAGGAAGGAAGAGGAGGAGCAAGAAUGGAAGGCUUGUACCAACAAGUUCUUAUCCUUUUUAAUGAGGAAAACAAGAGCAUCCCUAUUCUGCUCUUAUCUCACCGAGUUCCAUGGCCAUUCUGAGCUGCAGUGGAGUCUUGGGAGAAUUUGUAUGUGUUGAAGUUGGUGGAUAGACAUGAGAAGCAGAUUGAGGGAUCUGUGGAAAGGGAGAGGAAGAGGAGGAGGGGGCUGUCAGAGGAGUAAUGGAUGCUAGAGGAAUGGAUUCCCUCCAGUUUUAGUAAA